GCCAGCGCGCCAGCCGCUAUUGGGGGAUGGAAACCACCUUAUAGAGUCUCUCCUCGGUCCUCGAUGCGAGCGGUUUGUCACAUGCUCCCGCCGUGCUCCCAAAGUGUUUCCUCUACGCCGUGACGAAAUCGUUAAAGAAAAAUCCCAUUUCACGAAACGAACGAGGCGUUGGUCGGUCGAUACGCGUCGCACGCUCGAUUCUUCCCAGUAUUUCUCUCCCGCGAAUAUUUUAUUUUGGAUUUUUCGUGCAACGAUGAUCGAAUCGGAACGCAAUUGUUCGAUCGCGGAGAGAGUGUCGAAGGAACUGAGGUAAACUUUGUGAUAUUGAUUCGAAGCAAGUGUUUGUGUUUGGACGACGAAGCGACGGGCGACGCGUGAUGGAGAUAUCGGUGUAAAAGAAGUAAAGAAGUUUGUGCACCAGAGCAGAGGAAUAAAUAUUCGUAUCUAAGAUGGUAAAAUAUAGAAAAUAUAUAUACAUUUACGGAUGUGAUAGGAGAAGGCGACGGUGAUGUACGAGAUGGCAGAGAAAUAUGGCGGUCACCACGUGACCCUUUUUAUAUCUUUAAGGUGCAGCGCACAGGGACAGGGGAAAAAAGAGAACGAGAACCUUGAACCAAUCGUAAAUGGCGUGGAGUGAAAGCGGUCGGUCUCCGCGGUUUUCCCAGAAGAGCGCGAGCCACGAAAUUAUCGACCUGUAAAUCGGAACGUAGGAUCUCUCGUUUCUUACUCUCUCAGGGUAUAUAUAUAUAUAUAUAUAUAUAUAUAUAUAUAUAUAUAUAUAAGCUCGCCUCUGUGUAUUACGGAAGAAAAAAAAAAGGAGAAAAAGGAUAAAAAAGCCGAUGGACCGAAAUGUAAAAAAAUGGAGAACGGUACCAAGUUCGAAUUCACGCGUUACGAAUGUUAUCCUCGCAUCAAUCCUCGAUGCUUCGCGCGAUUGAUUCUCAUCAUCCAUUUGACGGAUUGCGCACAUCGUCUAACGAUGUUUAGAUAUUUCAGAAAAUGAUUGGUUGGAGGCCUGCCCUUUCGAAGAUCCGUAUCGUUGUUGCACAAUACGAAUGAUUGAUGAGAGAGUGCACUACUUUCUGAUCUGCGGUUUCAAUAAAAACGAAAAAGAGAGAAAAAAAAAAAAGAAGAAAGAAGAAACUGUCUCAUUUAUUUUCGACCAACGAUAAACUCCUCCUGCUUCCAUUCCGGAUUAAUGGGUUACCGUUAUCCAUCGUAUCUCUCUUUCUUUCUAACGCUCUUCGAUUCGGUAUUAUUAUUACGGUAAUGGGGAAAUGAAACGGUAGUGGUGCUCGCCCACUCUCGAGAGAAAUUGCGUUACGUUGCGGAGGAGGACUAGAGAGAGAGGGAGAGGAUCGACGAGAAAGCGGUCGUGGGGAGGGGUGACGCCUCGAUCGAGAUGAGAUCGAGAAUGGUGACACUGCAACGUACAUACCCCCGUGACUCGAUUACACACUCGGGGUUACACCGUUAAUCAUCCUUAAUACUUCACGCGCGCAUAAUGGCGACUGGAUACGAUCGGUCACGGAUUGGAUUCCACGCUCCUCCAACGAUCCACGUCCUCCCACGUGUGCCGUGUCGCGCACAGGAUGGUGAAAUGAAACGAAUUCUCCGCGGUUCGGAAGCGGCGCCGGCGGCGGCGGCCAGUUUCACUUCAGAGUUCACAGUGAAUGGGCGUACAUGGAGACAAUCCAAUCCCGCUCGAUUCCCGAUUGGACGUCGCCUUCCUUCUAAUUGAGUCAUCGUGUCAUUAGUGAUAAUCGCGCGUGUAACGGAACGAACCAUCUCCUCUCGUUGAAAGAAUGGAGAGAGAGAGAGAGAGAGAGAGAGAGAGAGAUAAGAGGCGGCGUGAAAAAUAUGGACGAUACACCCUGAGAGGAUGGUGCGUACAUCGAUGCCCAAUUAAGCUCAAUUACAGCCGCGGAUAAUGGGCGAGCAUCGGUGAAAGAAUGAUUAUUCCGCGAACGAUCGGUUAGGAUGAUCGACCUUGGCUGAUUUUGCGCAACAUCCAUUCGCGAAGGAUAGAAGGAAUUAUCGAAUGGAAUGGAAAAAUGAGAUGGGAGGGGAAAAAAAAAAAAAAGAAUGGUAAGGUGCAGGAAGAAAAUUGAAAGGAAGGAAGGACGUAGGAGAUUGGAAUGGCGAUGAUUAACCGAGUUGGCUCGAUAGAUCCAAUCAGUCCCUGUUCUAAUUAAGAAAAUUUUAUCGAAAAUUAUUCGGUGGGUGUACACAUCAGGGGUGUGUGUACACUUGCGGCCGACAAAUGUCCUGUUACUUACGAACAAUGGAG